AGGUUGUGGAUUCCCGGGUGCACUUGCUGGCGAGGCUGCGCGGCGCCGGUUUCGUGGCUAAAAUCUGACAGACUUAUUGCAGAACUCGUUUCUUUGUCCGGAAAGGGCUCCCCUGUGUAACUUUACAGCAGUUAUCGUAGAUGAGGCUUGCAAAUUACAGAUGUGGACGGUGCCGGAACGGGAAUUUCAUUGAUAGCGCCUGAGAACCAACACAAGGAGUAAGAUACAGCCCCUCAAGGGACUCGCCAUAGGGAGAGGACACAGAGCUGUGGGAAUAAAGGGGCCACAAAGGAGGAGAGAGGCGUUUGCUGAAAACUUCCCAAGCUCCCAUUCCAGCAGUUCCUGAAGGGUCUUACUCAUUCUUUUAAAAAAUUUCCGACGGAAGAACCUGGAGUGUGGCGUGACCAUGGGGAAGCAAAAGAAAACAAGGAAGUAUGCGACCAUGAAGCGAAUGCUUAGUCUCAGAGAUCAGAGGCUUAAAGAAAAGGAUAGAUUAAAACCUAAAAACAAAGAAAAGAAGGAUCCCAGUGCGUUAAAGGAAAGAGAAGUUCCCCAACACCCUUCCUGCUUAUUUUUCCAAUAUAAUACACAGCUGGGCCCACCUUACCACAUCCUCGUUGAUACCAACUUUAUCAACUUUUCCAUAAAAGCCAAACUGGACUUAGUGCAGUCAAUGACGGACUGUCUGUAUGCCAAGUGUAUCCCUUGUAUAACUGACUGUGUAAUGGCUGAAAUUGAGAAAUUGGGGCAGAAGUAUCGAGUGGCUCUAAGGAUCGCCAAGGAUCCAAGAUUUGAACGAUUACCAUGUACACACAAAGGGACCUAUGCAGAUGACUGCUUAGUACAGAGAGUAACUCAGCAUAAGUGUUACAUUGUGGCCACAGUUGACCGGGACCUUAAAAGAAGAAUCCGUAAGAUUCCUGGAGUUCCUAUCAUGUACAUUUCUAACCACAGAUACAACAUCGAACGGAUGCCAGAUGAUUAUGGAGCCCCUCGAUUCUAAUUCUUAUAAGACACAAUUCCUCUGCCUUUCUUCAGCCAGCUUUCUCUUGUUGCCAGUUCAUUACACGAAAUGUAGCGGGAUUUUUAAGGAAUCAGAGAGACCGAUGGAGUUCACGAAGAUAUUUAUUAUUUAGGUGCACCGGACCAGUUAGAUUAACAUCCAAAGGACCAGCCCCGAACAAAGAGUUAAGUUACCUUUUAAGCAUUUCGUGGGGCGGCGGGGCGGGAUCUGUGCAGGGGGAAGCACAUUACAGAAGUGAGAAAGACAGUUAAUUAAUUGAGACAUGCAUUACAUCAUUUCUUACUUUUCAAGGAAAAACAUGUUUUAUGACUUGAGUUUAUCUGUCUAGUUACCUUGCAGCUGCACAGCUAGAGAAACAGGGUAUUCCAAUGCCUGGGAAAGGAGGAGAGAUAAGGCUCACUAGCCACAGAAAAACAGGCAGUUAAUUUUUAAAGGACUCCAGCUCUUUCUCUUUCUCACAGGGAAUUGGGUUCUCUUACAUACAACUGAGUUACUGCUUACACAUUUUAAAAUUUCUUUUAAUUCCUUUUCCAAUGCAAUAGCAUGAAUUAUUAUUCUGUUGACCUAUUUGCCCUAUUAUGAGCUGAGGGUAGUUAGAUAUGCUCACUCUUUUUUUUUUUUUUUUUUUUUCCUUGAGACGAAGUUUUGCUCUGUCGGCAGGCUGGAGUGUA